CAUCCCGGCUCUCCUCAGCUCCGGGUCCCUCCGCUGCUCCCUGAGGCGGCCGCGGCUCCGGGAGGGCACGACCCGGCCCCGGGCUCCCUCCCCGCCGCGCCCGGUGCUGGGCACUGGCGGUAGCGAGCUCCCGCCCGCCGCUCCCCUCAGCCCAGCGCCCCCCACCGGCUGAGGCAGGAGCGGACCCGGCGAGGCCCAGGCCCAAAGCUCCGUCCCCACCUCCUUCUCGACCGGCGUUUGGAACAGAACGUCGCACACACGGAAAAAGGCCUCCCUAACUGACUGAGUCACUUCAUAAGGAUCUUCUUUAUGCUACAGAGUCUAAAACCUCUAAGCAAGGCCUUCCUUUAUGCUUGGAAAGGAAACAAUCACCAAGCACAGGAGACUCGUCAUGCGCAGAGCGGUCCGCAAUCUGCUUCUGCGAAACAAUGCGGUAGAUCUCUGCAAUGAGAACACACUGCUCAGAGCACAGAAGGAUGUGGCCUCCCAACACAGCACACGUCAGAGCAAGCUGUCAGAGGUGAUGCAAGAACCCAAGAACAAGGAAGAUUUUAACUUGAGAGCUGUGAAAGGGAAUCUAGUUUCAGCAGCUGUGGUAUGUAACAUCUGGCUGGCUUUCCAGCUCUGUAAUGGACACGUCAGCUUUGUCUGGAAAAGUUAUUAAGACAAGAUUCCUUACUGCCUUCCACCACAGUGCUUUGUAUCACGUUCUUGUUCGAUGACUCCAUGAACAUGGGUAUUAUUAAAAAGCUUUUUAAAUUAGAAA